AGCAGCUCCUCCUCCACCUCCACCGCGAGAGGAUAAGCGCAUAAGAACUAGUGUGGGUGCAGGAGGACGACACGUGGCAGCCCCACAAACACUCGCCCCAGACCCCCUCUUGGUCCAGAAUCUUUAUAACAAACGCGUGUUGUGGGUUCAGGAGAGGAAGUUUUUCUUCAGAGGACGAACCAAAUACAUUAAAAAUAUUUUGCAGUUUUACUUCAUACAGAUCUAUUCAUCAGCAUCAUCAUUAAACCCUUGAAAACCA